rnacentral:tRNA from 1 species
CCGGUGUCACGACGUUGUCACUGCUGCAAACGCGGAGAGACAUGCCGGGAUCGCCUGCAUCGACUUCCCAAGCUGAGUACGCGGGUUCGAUUCCCGUCAUCGGCUCCA